GGAAUAUUGGUCAAUGGACGAAAGUCUGAACCAGCCAUGCCGCGUGGAGGAUGAAGGUCCUCUGGAUUGUAAACUUCUUUUAUAUGGGACGAAAAAAGGGUUUUCUAACUCGUCUGACGGUACCAUAUGAAUAAGCAACGGCUAACUCCGUGCCAGCAGCCGCGGUAAUACGGAGGGUGCAAGCGUUAUCCGGAUUCACUGGGUUUAAAGGGUGCGUAGGUGGGUUGGUAAGUCAGUGGUGAAAUCCCCGAGCUUAACUUGGGAACUGCCAUUGAUACUAUCAGUCUUGAAUACCGUGGAGGUUAGCGGAAUAUGUCAUGUAGCGGUGAAAUGCUUAGAUAUGACAUAGAACACCAAUUGCGAAGGCAGCUGGCUACACGAAUAUUGACACUGAGGCACGAAAGCGUGGGGGUCAAA
rnacentral:rRNA from 1 species